GUUUUGACAUGUGAAAGUGUGCCAGACAGUUGGCAAAUUAGUGUUAAUGAUAGCCAUACAUGUGUAUACUUUUGCUAGGAGUGUGUUGGAAAUUUGGUAAUUGAGUGUUGUGCAGUGAAUUGUGCCUACAGUUUUGCAAAGUGUGUGUUACAAAAUUGCAAACUGAGUGCAAAGCAGUUUUUGUGCUUUUAGUUUUGCAAACUCAGUGAGUGGUUUUGCUAUAAGUCUGACUAGUUUUAAAGAUUGUGCUACAGGAAUCACAGUUAGGGUUUAAGCAUUCAGAAAAAACUGUAAGACUUGGCUCUGCAACCAGAGGAGCCCCUGCUGGCCAUUAGACAGAAGGCACAUCAGGAACUUGGAGUAUGUUUCUCUCCUGAGAGCUGGAGAUGACAUCCAUGUUUUAUAAAUACAGUGAAAGGGCAAAAAAAAAAAAAAAAACAAUGCUAAGGGAAAUGUUAGAUAUUAAAAAAAGAAAAAGAAAAGGAAAGAAAAUUUAAAGAACAAAUUUAAAAGAAAUGUCCUUCCUCACAGAAUCUGUAACAGUACAGAUAUUUGGUGUCAUCCUUCUGAAAGUGCUCCAAGGAUCCUUUGUGCUGUUUAUCGAGAAAGUGCAGCAGUUUGAAGGGAGACGUGCGAAACAAAUAAAGCUAUAAAAAUCCUUCCUUGAACAGGAUUUCCUGUUUCCUGUAAUAAACGAGAUGAAAGGUUAAUCAUAUUCAAGACUGAAUAAACAGUAAAUUGAAAUUAUGAAAUAAGUAAGAUUUUGACUCACUAAUUUCCACUCCUUCGAUAAACUCUUCCACUUGCUGCACAGAUGUAUAAAUGAAAUAUGAGUUUGUGGCCCUGCUGCUGUAUAUCAUCUGUCUCUUGCAGGUUUUAAUGGAAGGGGUCUCCUGCUUGAAAUGCUGCAGCAUAUUUACUGUCACAGGACUCACAUCUCAAAGGCUCCUCCUCAGACUUUACCAGCUGACUUUAUUGGGCUACCAUGAAAUAUACACACACUUUUUUUUUACAAGGGCUGAG
ensembl:lncRNA